CCGCGGCAUGUGGGAUCUUCCCGGACCGGGGCACAAACCCGUGUCCCCUGCAUCGGCAAGCGGACUCUCAACCACUGCGCCACCAGGGAAACCCCCUAAUUUAAUUUUUAAUUGAAGUAUAGUUGAUUUACAAUAUUGUGCCAAUCUCUGCUGUACAGCAAAGUGACUCAGUUAUACACAUAUAUUCUUUUUUUAAUAUUCUUUUCCAUUCUGGUUUAUCACAGGAUAUUGACUAUAGUUCCCUGUGCUAUACAGUAGGGCCUUGUUGUUUAUCCAUCCUACAUAUAACAGUUUACGUCUGCUCAUCCCAAACUCCCAGUCCUUCCCUCCCCCACCCUCUCCCCCUUGGCAACCACAAGUCUGAUCUCUAUGUCUGUGAGUCUGUUUCUGUUUCAUAGAUAGAUUCAUUUGUGCCAUAUUUUAGUUUUCACAUAUGAGUGAUAUCAUGUUAUUUGUCUUUCUCUUUCUGACUUACUUCCCUUUGUAUGAUAAUCUCCAGCUGCAUCCAUAUUGCUGCAAAUGGCAUGAUUUCAUUCUUUUUUAUGGCUGAGUAGUAUUCCAUUGUAUAUAUGUAUGACAUUUUCUUUAUCCAUUCUUUUUUAAAAAAACUUUAUUGAAGUAUAGUCGCUUUACAAUAUUGUGUUAGUUUCUACUGUACAACAAAGUGAAUCAGCUCUACUUAUACAUAUAUCCCCUCUUUUUCGGAUUUCCUUCCCAUUUAGGUCACCACAGAGCACUGAGUAGAGUUCCCUGUGCUGUACAGUAGGUUCUCAUUAGUUAUCUAUUUUAUACAUAGUGUCAAUAGUGUAUAUAGGUCAAUCCCAAUCUCACACCCCCCCUUCCCUCUUGGUGUCCAUAUGUUUGUUCUGUACAUCUGUGUCUCUAUUUCUGCUUUGUAAAUAAGAUCAUCUAUACCAAUUUUUUCAGAUUCCACAUAUAUGCAUUAAAAUACCAUAUUUGUUUUUCUCUUUCUGACUUACUUCACUCUGUACGACAGUCUCUAGGUCCAUCCACGUCUCUACAAAUGACCCAGUUUCAUUCCUUUUUAUGGCUUAGUAAUAUUCCAUUGCAUAUAUGUACCACAUCUUCUUUAUCUACUCCUCUGUUGAUGGACGUUUAGGUUGUUUCCAUGUUCUGGCUAUUGUAAAUAGUGCUGCUAUGAAUAUAGGGGUGCAUGUAUCUUUUUGAAUUAUAGUUUUGUCCAGGUAUAUGUCCAGGAGUGGGGUUGCUGGAUCAUAUGGUAAUUCUAUUUUUAGUUUUCUGAGGAACCUCCACACUGUUUUCCAUAGUGGUUGCCGUAACUUACAUUCCCACCCCCAGUGUAGAAGUGUUCCCUUUUAUCCACACCCUCUCCAGCAUUUGUUAUUUGUAGACUUUUUAAUGAUGGCCAUUCUGACCAGUGUGAGGUGGUUCCUCACGGUAGUUUUGAUUUGCAUUUCUCUAAUAAUUAGUGAUGUUGUGCAUCUUUUCAGGUGCCUACUGGCCAUCUGUAUGUCUUCUUUGGAGAAAUGUCUGUUAAGAUCUUCUGCCCGUUUUUUGAUUGGGCUGUUUGUUUUUGUGUUGUUGAGUUGUAUGAGCUGUUUGCAUAUUUUGGAGAUUAAGCCCAUGUCAGUCACAUCAUUUGCAAAUACUUUUUUCCAUUCCAUUGGUUGUCUUUUCUUUUCUUUUUUUUUUUUUGUGGUUUCCUUUGUUGCGCAAAAGCUUGUAAGUUUGAUUAGGUCCCAUUUGUUUAUUUUUGUUUUUAUUUCUAUUGCCUUGGGAGACUGACCUAAGAGCACAUUGGUACGAUUUAUGUCAGAGAAUGUUUUGCCUAUGCUUUCUUCUAGGAGUUUUAUGGUGUCCUGUCUUAUGUUUAAGUCUGUAAGCCAUUUGGGUUUAUUUCUGUGCAUGGUGUGAGGGUGUGUUGUAACUUCAUUGAUUUGCAGACAGCCGUCCAGCUUCCAAGCAGCACUUGUUGAAGAGACGGACCUCCUUUUGAGGCACCGCCCCGGUUCUGCACCCUGGCUUGCACGGACAUGGGGCCAGUAGGAGCCCACAGGUGUCCCACCAACACGUCAGCCCAAUUUGUCUCUUUAGACAGCUCAGCAGCACCCCCAGUCUCCAACUCAUUUUUCUGCCUCCCCUUCCUCCUUUUUUUUCGGGCGGGGGGGGGGGGGCGGGGGGAGGGGAGGGAAGGUGUCUGUGGUCCAGACAGUGCCUCUCAUUGCCAGGAGAGGGCAGCAGUCACCUCCCCUUCCCACAGGUGCACCCUCCGCUCGAUCUAGGAUUGCGUCACUUUUCCAAAGGCCACUGAGUGCCCACUAGGUGCCAGGCUCUGCGCUGGGCGCUGGGGAUGCCAAGCUGACUCCCCUCUCUGGAGGAAUCCGUGGUCUAAAAGAGUGAGUCAGCCACAGAAACACAGAAGUGCCGAACAGUGGGGUGAGGCGCUCAGGCAGAAGGCUCCCCCGGGAACUCCAGACUCCCAAGGAGGGGUGGGGAGAGAAGGGGCCCUAGGAGAAGCCUCAUAGGAGAAGAUGCUUGAACGGAGUGUUGCAAGAGGAUAGUUUUUUUUGCAGGGUACACGGCCUCCAGGAAGGGCAUCCCAGGAAGCGGAACUGAAACCGCAGGACUCAGAUGGGAUUUCAACCCAUGGGCCGGGACUCCAACCCAGCCAAGACUCAGACUGGGACUUGAAUCCACUGUCUUUUAAUUGAAAUCGCAUACCUGGUCUCAGGACUUAACAAAGCUCAGGUUCUCACGACAGAAAGAAUUCAGUGAGGGACAAAGUGGUAGGUAAGAAGUGGAUUUAGAGAGAUACACGUUCCAUAGACAGAGUGUGGUCCAUCUCAAAAGGCAAGACUGGCCCUGGGAAAAACACAGUCUACAGAGUGUGGGCCACCUCAGAAGGCAAGAGACCCUGAAGUAUGGGGUGGCUAGUUUUUAUGGGCUGGGUAAUUUCAUAGGCCAACGAGUGGGAGGAUCAUUCCAACUAUUUUGGGGAAGGGGCGGGGAUUUCCAGGAGUUGGGCCACCGCCCACUUUUUGGCCAUUUAUGGUCGGCCUCAGAACUGUCAUGGUGCUGGUGCGCAUGUCAUUUAGUUGCCAACGUGUUACAAUGCACGUAUGAUGAGGCUCGAGGUCCGCUGGAAGUCUAAUCUUCCGCCAUCUUGGGCCUAAUCGGUUCUAACCAGUUUAUGUAGUAACCUCAAUGGCUGUGUCAUUCUUUUAAAGGUUGCGCCCUGCCCCCUUCCCUCGUGUUUCAGAACCAGGUGAACCUGACCCUCUAUGGCCAGCUUAGCUGGAACAGAGGGUGCUGGGGAGGGUCAGGAAGACUCGGUAACUGGGACCAUGGAGGGGUCCCUGUCUGCCGUGCCGGGGGGCCUGGGCCAGAGUCGUGGCGGAAACAGGAAGCCGUCACAGGGGUUUAACCAGGAAACGAUAGGUGCUACGCAGAAGGGAAAACAGAAGAAUGUAAUAGAUUGUCGGGGACCAGGGUAAACCUCUCAAGAGGUGACAUUGACAUGUGAGCUGACCGGGAGGUGAGCACCCGGCUCGGGAGAGGACACGGUCAGAGCAAAGGCAAGAGGGUGUGGGGAAGUGUGGAUGCCUGGAGGGUGGCGAGCAAGGACGGUGGCUGGGGGCCAGAUGGAUUCACCGCUCACAAGGUAAGGCAGGGACUCAGUCCACCAGGCCUCCAGUGGGUGGACGGACCCUCUGGCCUGGAGGGGCUGUACGUCUGGAGGAGCCUUCUUAGUCUUUGACAGGUGAGGCUUGGGUUUCUGGAAGGAGCUGGAGCUGGUCUGCGUCUGGAUCGGUUGGUCACUGAGGCUCUGGGAAGAGGCUCCAAGCUCCAGGGCAGCAGUUGGUAAACUACAGCCCGGGAGGCCGAGUCCUGUAUUCUGAGAACACAGCCGAGCUGCUUCAUUUAUGUAUUGUCAGCGGUUGCACUGUCAAGAUGGACAGUUGCCACAGAGACCGCAUGGCCUGCAAAGUCUGAAACGUUUCCUCUCUCUGUGGAAAAGGUUUGGGAAGCCCCGCUCUACGCUGUGGCAGGCGGUUUUCUGGGACGUGGUUCAGGCCUGGCCUGGUCUGUAUGUGCUGAGAAGGUAAGGCUGUGCUCCGAAGCCGCAUCUCCAAAAGCUGACGUCCAUCUCAGGUGCUGGAACUCUGCUUGGUCACGUGUGCGUAGUAGCGCACCAUGACCGUGGGCUUGUGGUUCCAGUGGUCCCGUGAGUGUCUCUUAGCUUUCCUUGAUCCACAGCUUUCUGCUUUCAUCUCUCUUUUUUUUCUUCCUCGCAAUUUAUUUAUUGAAGAAACUGGGUUGUUUCCCCGUAUGUUGGGCUUUGCUGAUGAGAUCCUGAAGUUUCACGUGUGCCUCUGUUCGCUCCUAAUUUACUGUAAAUCAGCAGCUUGACCUAAAGGCUUCACGGGCUUUAGGUUAGAUGGGGAGGGGCAGCAAAGACUAUCCCAGAUUCUUCCAACAGGAGGUGAGUAACGUCUGGGCUGGCUUUUAGUGUGUGUGUGAUGUUAGUAGCUGUUAAUUAAUUAUGGAUUGAAAAAUGGUAUUAUUGCUGUAUCAUUCCUUCUUCGUUUACUAGUUGGCAUACUUCUCUAAAGAGAUGCUGCCCCUUAUAUAAGCUCUUUUGUUACCCUGUGGUACAAUUAUUUAGAAAAGGCUGGAUAAUUGCUUGAUUUGUUCUUUUUAUUGACCAUUUUCCAAAUGAAGAGUUGUUUCGUAUCCUUCAAUGGCAACCAGUUUUUCUUUCUUUUUUUUUUUGGCGGCAUUGGGUCUUCGUUGCUGUGCACAGGCUUUCUCCAGUUGCACUGAGCGGGGGCUACUCUUCGUUGCGGUGAGCGGGCUUCUCAUUGUAGUGCCUUCUCUUGCUGUGGAGCACGGGCUCUAGGCGCGCGGGUUGUGUAGUUGUGGCGCACAGGCUUAGUUGCUCCGCGGCAUGUGGGAUCUUCCCGGACCAGGGCUCGAACCCGUGUCCCCUGCAUUGGCAGACGGAUUCUUAACCACUGCGCCACCAGGGAAGUCCCCAACCACUUUUUUUUUUUAACAUCUUUAUUGGAGUAUAAUUGCUUUACAGUGUUGUGUUAGUUUCUGCUGUAUAACAAAGUGAAUCAGCUAUACGUAUACAUAUAUCCCCUCCCCCUUGGAAUCUUGGUGUGGGUUUUGCUUUUUUGGUUUUUUUUGAAUUUAGUGUGAAAUUUAUGAAGGCACUAUUAGUAUCAGUAAAAUUAUAUAAAUCGUAUUUAAUUAGUUCUGGCCCCAAAGUCUUCAUCUUUUUCUUUUUCUUCUCCUCCUUCUCUUCCUUCAUCUUCUUUUUCUUUCUUUCUUUCUUUUUUUUUCUUGCUAUAGAUUAAAUUUAACUCCUUUCCAGGCUUGGAAAUGAGCUGAACCCACUUAGUGCAAGCAUCCUGAAAUCCUCCCUUCCCAUCAUAUUCCUGAGAGACUGGUGAUGUGUUCUUGCCUAAUGAAAGUGAAUCCAUAGUUUGGCAUUGGUACUGCUACUUCUUCUCUGCUACUUUGUUCUUAUAUGUGAUUUGUUUUAAAACCGUUUUGCAUUAUUAGACAUUAUUUGCAAUUAUAAAGAUAAAAAGAAACAUUUCAAGUAUUAGCUUAUUUGACCUCUUUGAAAUGAUCACAUUUUCUUCCUCCAAAUUCUUUUGGACCCACAGCCGCAUUUCAUAUUGUUUCUACCCUAUCCUGGCUGACUGUUCCUUUUCAAUCUCACUUAUGAAGUCCUCUGGCUCUGCUUCUGCUUUACUCAUUUUAAGAAUAAAUUAUUAAAAAAAUAAAUAAAUUAUUUUUGGUAUAGGUACUAUUUCCAUAUAUUGCUGACCUUGGAGGGUCUCCUGGGGCAGUGGGGGGGGCAGCUGUGGCUCUCUCUGGGGUCAGAAAAGCUGGUGGCGGACAUAUCGGGGAGUAUUUAUCUGAGUAAACUCUUCCUGCUGGUCUUGGAGGGUCCCCUGGGGAGGCGGAGGGCGGCCAAGGCUCUCUCUGGGGUCACUAAAGCUGGUGGCGGAAAUCUCAGGCAGUGUUCACCCACCCGAACUCCUGUUGCAGGCAAACAUCCUGCUUGGGCACUUAGCACCCUGGGUGUGGUUUAAAUUGCUUUUCUUUUUUUAUGCAGACCUUGUGAUCUGCUGUCAUUUUUAUAUAUUGUUGCUGGACUUAGUUUUCUAUUUUUAGAAAAGAGUUUCACAUCUAUAGUCAUGAGAAAGAUUGGCCUUAAUUUUCCUUUCUUGUACAAUCUUUUUUAAGCUUCAGUAUUAAGAUUAUGCUAAUCUCAUAAAAAUGGGUUGAGGAAUGUUCUUUUUUUAUUUAAUGGAAGAAUUUGUGUAUAAUUGGCAUUAUGUUUUCUUUAAAUGUUUAGUAGAAAUUAUUGAUGAGGGACUUCCCUGGAGGUCCAAUGGUUAGGACUCUGCUCUUCCACUGCAGGGGGCUCGGGUUUGAUUCCUGGUCGGGGAACUAAGAUCCCGCAUGCUGCGUGGUGUGGCCAAAAAAAAAAAAAAAAAAAAGAUCAAUAUUUAUUGAGCUCUUACUAUAUGCCAGGCACUGUUCUAUCUAUAUUGUCUCAUGUAAUGCUCCUAACAACCCUAUGAGGGAGCUUCUACUGCUGCUGCUGCUGCUGUGAGUACAGUGAUAAUCAUUAUACAGGCGAGUAAUAAUAAGGCGUGUCUUUAGUGAAGAUAAACCAGAAUAUCUAAAUAAAUAACCAAACCAUCUGUGCUGGUAGUAAACUGAGCCCAGACUAAAUCAACUUUCCAUUUUUUUGUUUUCUGUUUUUCCUAUCACUGUUAACCAAGGCUAUGGGUAUAGGUAACUGUAGUUUAUAGUGAGCAGUUUUUCAUAAUCUUUUUUAUUUUUCUGGCUUAAAUCACUUUUUUAAAAAAUUGGAGUAUAACUGCUUUACAACGUUGUGUGAGUGUCUACUGUACAAUGAAGUGAAUCAGCUGUACGUAUACCUAUAUCCCCUCCCUCUCGGACCUCCCUCCCCAUCCCACCCAUCUAGGUUGUCACAGAGCACCGGAGCAGAGCUUCCUCUGCCUUACAGCGUGUUCUCACUAGCUACCCAUUUCACGCCUGGUAGUGUAUGUAUGUCAAUCCUCAUCGCCCAGUUCGUCCCACCCUCCCCUUCCCAGCCCUGUGUCAGAGUGAAGUAAGCCAGAAAGAGAUUUUCAUAAUCUUACGGACGAGCACUGCACCCCCCUCACCACACCCCGGCCCCCAGCUCUCUCUCCAGCUCUCCCGCAUAGAAGGCACUUUAUGAUCUCAAGGGGAAAGAUGUGAUCCAAAGGGCAGGAUGAGAUCUUGAAAGUUGAUACCUAGUAGGAUGUAUCUGGUCUCUUUCGGUUCUCAUGUUAAUUUUUAUUAUGCUUAUUUUACAUAUGCAGAAAUAGAGUCUCCCGGAGGGAAGUGAAUCGCCUAAGGAUAAAUUGCUAGGGAGGGCACGGUCUGAAUCAGGAGCUUAUACCUUGCAGAGAUAUUUAUAGUUAUGGUAGGUUCCUCAGAGCCCGCUGAAAGGGACAUGAGAUGUGAUGUCUCAGGAAAGAACGUUAUGGAGGCGCUCCAGGUUGCUAGUCAGGUGAGGACACCUCAGACAUCUUCCUGGCUUCCAGCCGGGUAGGACCACCUCCAUGGAGGUAGCUGGUUGGGCGCAGUCCCCUUGUGCCAGGAGGACGGGAAGAAUUUCCAGUCAGCAGAGCACUACGUGGUACCGUCCAUUCACAGCUCCAGGUCUGGCUCCCGUGUCCCUAAUCUGAGCCGUUCCUUCCCCCCCGCACCCCCAGUCCAGCUUCAGUCCUCUCCGUAGAUUCACUGCUCCUCUUCCCUUCUCUACCAGGGAUCAUUUUUCGCUGUAUCAUCUCCAUUCUUCAACUUUCUUUCCUUCCCGAGCCCCCUCUCUCCUGUAGUUGUCAGCAGACAAUAUCUUACAAGCCCUCAAGUUGCUGGAAGUCAAAAUCCUAAGUGACGAGAUGGCAUCUCCAUUAUGCCAGAAGGUGACAGCCAUCGAUGGUGACGAGCUCGUGCCUCUGGGUUGGGAGCUGUGGGGGAAGAAAGGACCCCAGCCCUGGAGUUCCUCUCCGGUGGAUGAUGACGUCUGAUAGCUAGAAGCCAGAGGGAGACUUGGAGGGGAUGUGUACUUCAGUCCUAAUGGCGCUGGGGUCCCAGUCUCCAGGAAUGUCAUUGUCAAGCUGUGGGACAGAUUGCAUCUGCACGACCUGCCCCCAAGGAGCCUCCCGGUCGCCGUGGGGAAACUGAGCCUCGGCCAGGGUUAGUGGGAGAAGAGGACGGGGCAGCAGGGGGCGCUGUGUGGACUCUGGACUAGCUUCAUCCUCCCAGCUCUCACUGGACAUCUCCACUAAGUUCAGUCGUGGGCGUGUUUGGGGGAGGGGGGCAAGCCAGGAUCCCUGUGGGCUGAUGGGAACCCAGGAGACCAGGAAUGGCUCAGUAGGGCAUAUUAGGGCAUGGGAGACUGUGAGGCUGGGGAGAAGACUUGGAAACAGAGAUGGAGAGAGAAAGCAGAAUAGAAGCCCCCCAUUCAAGAGUGGUGGGGAGGGCUUCCCUGGUGGCGCAGUGGUUGAGAGUCCGCUUGCCGAUGCAGGGGACAUGGGUUCGUGCCCUGGUCCGGGAAGAUCCCGCAUGGCGCGGAGCGGCUGGGCCCGUGAGCCAUGGCCGCUGAGCCUGUGCGUCUGGAGCCUGUGCUCCGCAACGGGAGAGGCCACAACAGUGAGAGGCCCGCAUAUGGCAAAAAAAAAAAAAAAAAAAAA